GCCCAGACUCCUACGGGAGGCAGCAGUGGGGAAUAUUGCACAAUGGGGGAAACCCUGAUGCAGCAACGCCGCGUGAGUGAGGAAGUAUUUCGGUAUGUAAAGCUCUGUCAGCAGGGAAGAGAAUGACGGUACCUGACCAAGAAGCCCCGGCUAAAUACGUGCCAGCAGCCGCGGUAAUACGUAUGGGGCAAGCGUUAUCCGGAUUUACUGGGUGUAAAGGGAGCGUAGGCGGCAGGGCAAGCCUGAUGUGAAAGCCCGGGGCUCAACCCCGGGACUGCAUUGGGAACUGCCCCGCUCGAGUGCCGGAGGGGCAGGCGGAAUUCCUAGUGUAGCGGUGAAAUGCGUAGAUAUUAGGAGGAACACCAGUGGCGAAGGCGGCCUGCUGGGCUUUAACUGACGCUGAGGUUCGAAAGCGUGGGUAGCAAACAGGAUUAGAUACCCGUGUA
rnacentral:rRNA from 1 species